GGCAAGGUGGCCGAGCGGUCUAAGGCGCACGCCUCAAGUGUAAACACUUCCUCUAAACGAGGAGUAUGCGUGUAUCGCAAGAUGCGCGAGUUCGAAUCUCGCCCUUGUCA
rfam:Aspergillus rambellii strain SRRC1468 contig00767, whole genome shotgun sequence.